GAAUUUUAUAUAAAUUUUUAUUGAAAUAUUAUUUUUUAUAAUAAAAAUAAAUUAAAAUUUAUAUUUGAUUGGGAGGAUUAUUAAAUUAAAUUAACUUUAAAUUAUUGAUACAUUAAUUUAUGAUAAGUUUUUAUUUAAAAGAUUAAAAUUUAAUAUUAAUUAAAUUUUAAAUAAGAAUUAAUUACCUUAGGGAUAACAGCGUAAUAUUUUUAAAAAGAUCUUAUUGAUAAAAAUGUUUGC
rnacentral:rRNA from 1 species